GAGAGGGGCACCUAGGCACUGUGGUAGAAAUAGGUCAUGAGGAGAGUGCCUGCAAAGUGCCCCCCAUGUGUGUCCAGGUGCAGUGGGACAAGGGCUAUAAGAACAUGUACAGAGUGGGGUAUGAGGAGCAGUACGAUCUAAGGAUCUUCGACACAUCUGCUUUAGGAAUUAAGCAUGAUAAACUCUGUUCUGACCCUAACUGUGAAGAACCGGAGAUAUAUGGAAUGCUGUGGAAAUGUGAACAGUGUCCCGAUGUAACACUCUGCAGCAGUUGUUACCAUAGUGACAAGCAUGACAUCAUUCAUAAGUUCACUCGAUUUGACUACAGCGGACAUCAAGGGUUCUCUGUACCAAAGCGACAGUUGAGCAGCAGGCAGAAAGUUUUUGGAAUCUUUGAGAAUGCAAAGGUGACACGUGGAAUAGACUGGAGAUGGGAUGACCAAGAUGGUGGAGAUGGUAACACUGGCACUGUUCUGGCCAUCGUGAACUUUAGCCUUGACACUGACCAUGACGGAGUGGAGGUCGCCUGGGAUACGGGUCACAUUAAUGUUUAUCGCCUUGGUUACAAGGGCUGUGUGGAUGUGAAGGCUGUGGAAUCUGCCAGUGGGGGUUUCUAUUACAAGGACCAUCUUCCUGUCUUCAAGUUACCCAAUCAACCCAGACCUGGCCCCUCUCAAGCAGAGAGAGAAGGGGUACCAGCAGAUGCCUCUCAAGAUGGAAGGCUCAAGAAAGGGGACACAGUCAAGAUAGGGGUGGAUCUCGACACCCUUCAGGCAGUUCUUAAGGAGUCCAAAAAUUGGAAUGAGAGAAUUGUUGAGUACAUUGGGGUCAAUGGAAAAAUUAUGAUGAUCAAUGAUCAGCAAAUCACUGUGGAUUUUGAUGGCAGAAAAUGGAUUCUGCCGGAACUGACCUUGGCUAAGGUUGAACAAUAUGAAAAGGACCAGGUGGUUCAAGUGGAAAAUGAUGCCACUAAUGUUGGUCACCUACAAAACGGUCAUGGUCCAUGGGAUGAAAGCAUGAAAAAGUUCCUUGGAAAAAGAGGCCGAGUUGUCUUUGUGGAUGGAGAUGGAGAUGUGACAGUCAGCUUUGGGAAACGGGAAAUUAAGUUCAAUCCUGAGUGCUUGAGGCCAUCCAAAGGCAGUGUAUUCAAUGAGGAUGAGGAACAUGAAAAGACGAGAGAGAAACCACAUGGAAACCAAGGUGAGACCAAAGAGGAACAACAGGGGACACAAGACGGGAGCUCCACCGAUGUGGACAGUGACACCAAAGAUGAAGAAUCAGAAGAGGGAAUGGAUGACAUCAGUGGUACAUUUUUAUCUUCCUUUAUGUAUUUAUGUAUUUAAUAAAUGGUACCCUCUCCUGAAAAUCUUUCUUAACUCCUUAUUGAACAACAGAAAUAACUGACCAACUUUAUUUUUUGUCAAUGUGAUGACUACUUUCAUAGAUCAACAUGAUAAGUUUAUGGAGGAAAUCAAGAUGGGAAAUACAAGAGAUGCCUUUCAAAUACUUCAAAAAUAUCCAAAAAUAGCAGGCCUUACGUCACUGUCUCAGGUCUGUGACCAGGCUAAAUGUGACGUAUCUAUAGUGGAAGCCUUGCUGAAACAUGGAGCCAAGAUGGACGAAAAAAGAGCACCACCUCUGUUGACGGCCGUCAGAAGGGGUCAUGUUGAUGUAGUAAAGCUCCUGCUGAAGAAGGGAGCAGAUCCAAACGUCAGCAACAACAACGAACAGACAGCGGUUCAUAUAGCUGUUCAGACGCGCAAUAAAGACUUGCUCCAGAUUCUUCGAGACAAAUGCGACUUCAACAUCUGUGAUAAACUUGGAGACAGCCCAGUAUCUGAUGCCAUCUCUAUUGGAGAUCCGAAUAUCAUUGACAUUAUCUUCCAAUGGCCCAAAAUCAAUCUCAAGUUUGAGAAUAAGCUCGGCUUCUAUCCCAUCCAUCUAGCAGCUAGGAAAGGAGACCUGCAUGCAGUGCAGCAGAUUCUGCAGAAAUGUCCAGAAGCAGCUAACACACAGAAAAGUGAUGGCUACACAGCACUCCACCUUGCUGCAUGCAUGGAUCACAGUGAUAUUGCCAAAACUCUACUGGAUAAGGGUGCCCGGACAUUUACACAAACAGAGAGUGAAGGUCAGACUCCCUUACAUAUUGCUGCCGUGUAUGGAAGCUAUGAAACUGCAAGAGUCCUCAUCGAAGAUGGAAAGGCCAAUGUUAAUGCUACAGAUAUUAAUGGAAACAAUGCUUUACAUCUGUGUCUGAUGAGAAGACCAGCUAUGAUGGAGUUUGCCAAGAUGCAGAAGGCAGACUCAGUCUCAGGAGACGGGGUACAGGAGAAGGAGAAGAUAGCGGGUCUGUUAAUACAGCACAACAUUCAGACUGAGCUGAAAAAUAAUGAGAACAAAUCCCCUCUUGAAGUGGCUGCUCCCCCUUCACUGGGCUCAAGUGUGGAGUUCCUCAUCAAAGAAAAACAGAACCCCUCAGUGCGCCCCAAGAGGUGGAAGUGCGAGGAGUGUGAGGAAGAGGACGCCUCCUAUCAGAUGAAGCCAUGCGACUGUCGCCUCUGUGAGGACUGCAUCCCCAAGAAACUCAAGAAGUGUCCAAAUUGUAAAAAAGCUGUCACCAGCAAAGCACAAUUCCUGUAAUGAUUCUAUCCCUACACCCAAAAAUAUUGGACAUUAAUAUCAUGUAUUUUAAAUAUUUUUUUUCUUUUUGAGUAUUGAACAAUUUUUUUUUCAUGUGAAGUCACCUUAUAAGUUUGAUAUGUGUUUUGUUUUGUCUCCCUCCAGAAAAUAAAUAUCAGCAGAAUUUUGAGACAAACAUUUUAAUCCUCAAUGUGAAACAUACACAUUGUAUUAGAAUUUGCUUUGAUUAACAGUUUAAGGAAAAAUCAAAUUCUUGAAUAGCACUGCAAUAUGUUGUGACAAUUAAUCGACAAUGGAUUACAAUUCCUACUCUUCUAACAUUUGGUUUUUAAAGCAAAUAAUUUUUAUAGUUUUUAUUAUAAAUAUUUUGAAGUGUAGUUGUGGAGACAUCAAACUAUCUUUUUUAUAUCUUAAAUGAAAAAAAAAUUGCUGUUGGUAUAUUAAAUGUAUUGUUCAUUUUUUGUUUUUAUAAUGAUUUUCAAUAUAACAUUCUUGACUUGUUAGAUUGAAGUUGUUAAUAUGAUAGGUAAAAAAAACCCCAAUAAAAUAUAUUAAACAU
rnacentral:misc_RNA from 1 species